GCUGAUCAAAAGGACACAAGACACACAGGACAGGAUCGGACAGGCCUGGGGGCUGAAGCUAAUUCAGUGGUAAAGACAUGAGCUCGUCUCUUGGAGGUCGACGUGAGGAGGUCUGCACUGGAAAAGACCACACUGAGUUUGAGGAGCAGACACACAUCCUCGCAGGCCCAGAAUGAGCUCUCCAGCCGCAGCCACUCCAUCCUGACAGUCUCCAUCAGAGCUAAAGCAGCUAAUAGUGAUGAAGGCACAGCCACCAAGGGGAAACUGUGCCUAGUGGAUGUAGCCAGAAGUGAACGGUUGAGGGGGCCCAGUUCCUCAGAAGAUCUCCUGGAAGAGGCUGCCAACAUCAACCAAAGUCUCUUGUCUUUGGGCAAGUGCAUAUCCGCACUAGUGGACCCUAAGAAGAAGAGCGGGCACAUUCUGUACUGCGACAGCAAGCUCACCAAGCUGCUCUCUGAUUCCCUGGGUGGAGCAGGCAUCACACUCAUGG